UUCAAAUUUAUCCAACAUAUAUAAAAAAAAAAGAAAGCAGAUUUUAAAAUUCUCUCCUUCCCCAAGUUGGAGAAAAAAACCGUUCCCCUCUCUCCCCAAAUCUCUCUCACAUCCAAACUAUCCAUCCCUCUAUUUUAAAUCUCCAGUUUAGUUAUUUCUUUCCAUUCUACCCGUUCUCUGCAAGCAAGAAAAACCAAGAAUCAUCCUUCAACUUCUACUUAAGUAACCAAAAUCCUCCAGCUUCAAGAACCAUUUUUUUUCUUCCUCAACAACCGUCUGCAAUUGAAGGUGAGACUUCGCAAGGGAAUCGAGAUACCAAAGGGAAGGAAGUGUAGAGAAUUAUUCAAUUGAGUAACCAAAAUCCUCCAGCUUCAAGAACCAUUUUUUUCUUCCUCAACAACCGUCUGCAAUUGAAGGUGAGACUUCGCAAGGGAAUCGAGAUACCAAAGGGAAGGAAGUGUAGAGAAUUAUUCAAUUGAGGUUGAGCGGCGACGAGAGUACGGUGGUGUUGAGCAAGUCAAUUGGUAAAUGAACUGUUGUUUUUGAAUUAUGGGUGUCGUUGUGUCUUCACACAUGACGUCACCCUUACUCUUGGUCGUUUCCGCUGUGACUUUUCGUUCAUUCAUGUUUUAUUUGGGCCGACAACUUUAAUUGCUAGGAUAAUGGAUUUUCCGAAUUUCUUGUUGGAUAAUAUUAAACUCUUGGUUAUUUAAUUGGAUAUUAAUAGUUGGUCCAACUUGUGUUGAAA